AACGAACGCUGGCGGCAGGCUUAACACAUGCAAGUCGAACGGACGUAGCAAUACGUUAGUGGCAGACGGGUGAGUAACGCGUGGGAAUAUGCCCUUUAGUUCGGAAUAACACAGAGAAGUUUGUGCUAAUACCGGAUAAUCCCGAGAGGGGCAAGAUUUAUCGCUGAAGGAGUAGCCCGCGUCUGAUUAGCUAGUUGGUGAGGUAAUGGCUCACCAAGGCGACGAUCAGUAGCUGGUCUGAGAGGAUGAUCAGCCACACUGGGACUGAGACACGGCCCAGACUCCUACGGGAGGCAGCAGUGGGGAAUAUUGGACAAUGAGGGCAACCCUGAUCCAGCCAUGCCGCGUGAGUGAUGAAGGCCUUAGGGUUGUAAAACUCUUUUGUCCGGGAAGAUAAUGACUGUACCGGAAGAAUAAGCCCCGGCUAACUUCGUGCAGCCGCCGCCGUAA
rnacentral:rRNA from 1 species